UACGGAGGGGGUUAGCGUUGUUCGGAAUGACUGGGCGUAAAGCGCGCGUAGGCGGGCUGGAAAGUCAGAGGUGAAAGCCCGGGGCUCAACCCCGGAAUUGCCUUUGAAACUCCCAGCCUCGAGUUCGAGAGAGGUGGGUGGAAUUCCGAGUGUAGAGGUGAAAUUCGUAGAUAUUCGGAAGAACACCAGUGGCGAAGGCGGCUCACUGGACCGGUAUUGACGCUGAGGUGCGAAAGCGUGGGGAGCAAACAGG
rnacentral:rRNA from 1 species